rnacentral:lncRNA from 1 species
UGGGGUUUGCUCACAGUGGCGCCCUCCUCUAUAUAGUAGUCCCUUCUGCACGACGACAUCCUCCUCUACAUGGUGGCCCCCCUCCUCUACACAACGGCACCCUCUUCUACACAGUGGUGCCCUCCUUUGUACAGCAGCCCUCUCCUCUACAGAGUGGCACCCUCCUCUACACAAAGGUGUUUCUUAUGCAUGGUGGGGCCCUCCUCUACACUGGUGCCAUUUCUUCACUGCUGUGCAAGUGAUGCCCUUGGUUCUAUACUUUGAUGAACGAGGAUUCUCCAUCAAGUUUUCUGCCUACUCCUCUUUUGCCCACUCCUCUUAG